UGUGUGUGUGUGCGUGUGUGUGUAUGUCUAUGUGUGUGUGUGUGUGUGUCUAUGUGUGUGUGUGUGCGUGUGUGUGUGUGUCUGCGUGUGUGUGUGUGUGUGUCUAUGUGUAUGUGUGUAUGUCUAUGUAUGUGUGUGUGUGUGUGCGUGUGUGUGUGUGCGUGUGUGUGUGUGUGUGUGUAUGUGUGUGUAUGUCUAUGUAUGUGUGUGUGUGUGUGUGUGUGUGUGUGUGCGUGUGUCUGUGUGUGAGUGACCGAGCUACCGUUAGCUAGCUAGCGGACGUUUAAUCAACGUGACGUGAACCCGGACAGAUCUGGAGACGGUAGUGCGCACGUGUAAACACGUGAACAGCGUCGGCCUGCGUCGUUUAAUCUCUCGGUGAGUUUGUAAUUACUGUCGGGAAAAUAUAGCCGUCUUUCCUUCGUUUCUUGUGAGAUGAAGAGACGUUACUGUCACUGUCGUACUUUUUAUCCAUUUCUAGUUACAUCUACAGUAAUGAUGUGGAACGUCAGAUUCGAGUCAGUUCCUGUUCUCAUUUAUAUCGUAGCAGCUACAAACAGUCGUCCCUCACCAGCCCUCUCUUUUCUUCCUUUCUUUUAUUCUUUCUUUCUUCAUUUCUUUUUCUUCCUUUCACUACAACUUUUUACGAUGAUUUAAUUACGUCCUGAUGACGAGCGCCGUCCUUUCUUUCCUUCAUUCAUUUUGUCUUUCUUUCUUUCUUUCUUUCACUCAGUCACUUCUUCUGUUUUUUAUUCUUUCUUUCAUUUUGCCUUUCUUUCAUUCUUAUCACAUUCUGCCACUUUUGUUUUUCUUAAUUUCUGCUUUUUUCUCAUAAUCUCUCUCUCUCUCUCUCUCUCUCUCUCUCUCUCUCGUUCAGUCUAUCUCCAUGAGGAAAUGUAAAUCUAGGUUAAACUUUGCAUUUGUAACUUUUCUCUCACUCUGACGCGACCAUAAAAACUUCCUGAGAUUUUGAUUGAUAGAUUUCAGAUUUCAGACAGGGAAAAGAGAGAAGAGAGAGAGAAGAGAGCGAGAGAAGAAGAACAGAGGAAGAAGGAGGGAUGUGUGUGUGUGUGUGUGUGUGUGUGUUCGGGUGAAUGUAAAUGGAGUGUGUUGUCAUUCUCAGAGCUGUGCUCUCUCCUCCCGCUGCAUGGCGAUGACUUCCUGUGCUCUCAAAACUUUCUUUAAAGCACCGCCGCGUGCUGGAGAAAAAAACUUUCUGAGCACUUCCUGUUCCUUUACGUACACAAACACACACACACGCACACACACACACACGCGCGCGCGCACACACAUUUACCUCCAAAUGGACGAAAAACUAUCUAUAAACUAAACAAACAGCUUCUGAGCCAUAGUGUGGGAUCUUUUUUCCUUAUAUGGUCAUUGUUUCCUGUACCUGUUCAUGUACAGUUCUCACGCAUCGCUUGUCUCUCCUGUCUCGUUCAUUCAUUCAAACCAUAGAUUUAUCUAGUAAAAACCCAGUCAGAUCGUUGCUAGUUCUUAUGACACGUCAGUGCAGCCGUCAUAAUGGGGAGGAUCCAAUUCAGCGCCGGUGGAAUUCUUCAUUAAAAUUAGCGAUAUAAUUAGCUUUAUGUAUAUUUUCCCCCCCAAACUUUCCGUGUUUGGCGGAGGAUGUGGCGGUAAAUAUAAAUACGCAUUCCUGUAAACAGCUAGCACUUGUACCUAGCUAACAAUUGGAACACUUGUACCUAGCUAAACACUAUUAAUUUAGAGACCUGUUUGCUCUUAAUAUAUAUAAAUUUACUACAUUAUUUAACUAUGCAACAGGUAGUUACAAUAAUAACUGCCUAAAACUAUCAUAAACCAGAGAACAUAUCACAACGUAGGUAUAUUUCAGUGUUUCGAUCACUUUGUGGCUAGCUAUGUACAGUAGUUAUCAGGCUAACGAUAGCACGAUCUUGUGCUGAGAUAGCUGGCUAGCUUAGCUACUGUCACUUAGCUGAGCUGAAACAUUAUACAGUGUAGAACUGGAAGAAGAAAGGCUGGCGGUGAUGUCAUGUGAUCGCGUAUUAAUUUGAAUUGAUUUAAAAAAAAACAAAAAACUACAUGAAAUAAAAAUAAAUAAAGAAAUAAAACGAAGAAGUAUAAAGUGGCUGAGAGACACUGGGGUAACACGGAGAAUCCAUCCUGCACUUCGUUAGCCUUCGUUAUCAAUCAGAUUCAUACGGCGAUGACUUUAAUUACGUCCUCAUCCGAUAGCGAGUGCCGAUCUAAAUGAGCCUUUGUUAAUCAGACACAAUCCUCACUUCCUGUUUGCCCCAAAUGCCACUUUAUUCCUUACUUUUACAGAAAACCUGGAGGAUGCGCAGAACAAGAGAAAAGAACAGUUUGAGACGUGGCUUCAGCAAUUCGGCGAGAAAACCCGUUUGGAAAACGCCGGAUUGGCUUGUUUGUGUUUGGCUCCGCCUCCUGUUGAGUUAUUUUAUAUAAAAUAGAGUCCAUUAGCUGCUGUAGAUCCUGGGGGCGGAGCUACUUGAACAUGGGCAGGUAAAAGGGUGUGGUCUCACCUAAUCUCACCUAAUGCACCUUUACCGAUGUCUUCAGUAGUACACUUUCACUUUCACACACGAUGAUCAUCGCUCAUUGAUAAUAAAUACCCGACAUAUUAUUUAUUCUAAUAUUAAAUAUUAAAUUCUGGCAUCUCUAUGAUCUGUUUUUCAGUGGGUGUGUCAUAGUGGGUGUGGCCUGCUCAGCUUUUUUUUAAUUGAUUUAUGUUUUAAUCAAAUUGCCUCAACGAGUACGUUUACGCGGACGGCGGUGAUCUAAUCACGGACCUUAUUCUGAAUAAGACGUAUGAUAUCGUGAUUAAGGUGUUUACACGAGGCGCUUUUAGAAUACUCCUUUCAUGUUCCCGUGUCACGUGUUAUAGAACGUAGACGGAUUAACGUCACACGUCAUUACGUCCCCGCGCCACGCCGUCCGACGUCCCUCCGGAAUUUCACGUAUCGACGUGCAGUCGGUCUUCGUUAUGGGACCUUAUACAGUUCUGGGUGUUUUUAUUUUUUAUUUUAUGAAAGCUUCAAGUGCGGUUAAUUAUUUGUCGCGCCGUACGUGCAGAUAGACGACCGCUUGAAGCCGUGGGCUGCGUCCCGAACCGCGUACGUACCGUCUAUAUAGUAUAUAGAGACGCAUGUAUUUCUCCUACUAUAUAGCAGGUAAGGACGCGGUUUGGGACGCAGCCGUGCUCUCUCGUCGAGCGCUGCCGUGUGUGAUCGUGUCCUGUCGCACGAUGCGGUGAAAACUCUCACACGACGUUAAUAGCGUGAUUACGGCGUGUACACGUCUGUAACGCACGUCGAUAACGCGACUAAAACAGGAAUACUCCACACGUCUUCAUUCCAUCUGUGUUUACUCCGAGUGUGACUUUAAUCAGAUUAAGGUCAUCGAGAAUCUCCGUUUACAUGCUAGUGUCGUAAUCAGAGUAUCGUCUUAAUCGGGUUCGUAUGGGAUUAUCGUCGUCCGUGUGAACGCACUGAGUGAAACCGUGGAACAUUUUAGUGUGUUGGUGAUGUAGUAAAAAUUCCAUACACUACCAUUAUACACUUUUUAAACUCUGUGUUGUUUUCACUGUUAAAUGUUAAAAUACAUUAAAAAAAAAAAAAAAAAAAUUCCCGAACAUGAAUUCCUGAAUUUUGUAUUCUUAGACCUAGAAUUAUUUUUAUUUAUUGAAUUUUUAAAUUUUUAAACGGCUUGACAUUAUUGACAGGAAUUAUUUUAGAAAAUUUCGUAUUUAUAGUUUUUGCACAUUCUGUAAAUAUGACAAGGUUUAAUUAAUUAAAUUAAGAUUUAAUUUGCCUUCUAAAAGUCCCUUUUCCCUAGAAACAAAUACAUUUUUUUGUCCCAUUUUUGCCGAAUAAUAAUCUAUGCGUUAUAACACAUCAGCUGCCUGGUUAUGUGCAUACUUAAUAAUUAUAUUUAUCAAUCACGCGAGUGUUUUAUACGCUUUUCUUUAAGCGUUUUAUUUCUACUUUCUCUUUAAAAGCACGAACAGAGCGGAAGCUUAGCAUGGGAGAAUACUAACGACAGCUCGAACCUAAAAUUCUGUCCGAUAUUGUCCGAGUGAAUAUUUAAAAUCAGGAUCCUGCGUGAGAAAUGCUCGCAUAAAAAUUAAACCCGGAUUUAAAAAAAAAAGUUUGAAUUUGUUUUCACGUUUGACAUCCAGGGCGGAGCUUAAGAUACAUUUAAUCAGAUCAUUAAUCACGUAUUUAAUGGACAGUUAAGGGUUCUACAUUACGGGUUCUACGUUUUUUUAUACGGUUCUACGGAGUGACAAAUGAAAGAAGGAACACCGGUGGUGAUGUCACACGAUUAGGCUUGUGAUUGGUUGCAACUCGAGCGUGCAAAUUAAGCUCCGCCCCCGAUGAAGCCUGUCACGCUGUGAAAUCAGGCUGUGCUCCACUAACACGUUUUAAAUUCCUAUCUCUGAUGUUAAAAGCUCAGCUGGAUGAGUGUGAGAGAGAGACAGAGAGAGAGAGAGAGAGAGAGAGAGUGUGUGUGUGUGUGUGUGUGUGUGUGUGUGUGUACUGGAAUGAACGGAGGCAGAAAGUCUGGCAGCGUCUCUGAUUGAUACAACAACAUUACUGUAACUACAGCGGGGUCCAAAAGUCUGAGUCCACUACCAGGAACUGGUUUUUAUUCCAUCAGGUAUCAAACACUCAGAUCAGAUUUUACUCCUCGGAUCCUCAUCGCUUCAACAUUCCAACAUCCUCCUCCUCCUCACACACACACACACACACACACACACACACACACUGAAGAUCGUUAUAUCUAACAGCUGCGGAGAUGUUUAUGUGAAAGCGCUCGUUCUGACAUGUUACGGUUUCUAUAGUAACGGCUCACUCACGGGGACGUGAAAAAUCGAUAUGGAAGCUACGUUUUCUUGCAAUAAGGAGAUGAUUAUUUAACUUUUAAGGAAGGAGUCUCCGGUGUCAGAGGUAACACUGUAACGUCUGCAAAAUCUUCAGGACAGAGGUUUACGUUUACGCUUCUACAAGGGUUUCUCGGCGACAAAAGUUGUUUUUUUUUUGCGUCUCAUUAGCUUCAAGCGUGAGAACAGAGAGAGGGACGGUGAGGGAACGACUAUACAUGAUACUAUAUACGUUAUAGCUGUUAUAACAUAAGUGAGAACAGGAACUGACUUGUUAAAUGGACAGAAAGUAUGACGUUCUUUAAUAAAAAAAUUUUUUAAAAAGUAAUCGUUGAAAAAUCUUUGCUAAAACAUUUCGGGACGGUAACCGUUACUCUGCUGCAUCACUGAUUAUUUUAAUGUAUAACACCAUCAGCCCGCUUCAGUUAAGUUCCCUUUCUAGUACCUCCGAGUACCCUUUUUAAAUAAUUAAAAAAAAACAAAAAAACAGAUUGUGUGGCGUGUCAUUUCCUUUCCCACGUGUGCGGGAGGUAUCUUCCACAGACGGUGUGACCUGAAGAUAAGGAGAUCAGCGCUUAGCUCUGGUUCGACCCCUCGGUGCCUCAGUGUGUUAUGCGUUACAUCAUUUCCUCCCAACAGCCAACAGGACACGCCGUAGUGGACUGACAUCACCACGGCUGACUAAUCCCACUCGAAACACAAGUACUGUUACGUCCCAAAAACUGUCUACUGCGUUCACUGGCUAGCUAAAUCAGAUGGAAAUGUAGCUAGCAUGACUACAAUUAUUACGCAGCUAGAGUAGAUAAAGUUUGUAGCUUGUUUUCUUUGAAGUUUACCGCUAAAGUAAAUAUAGAAUACAGAGAUCAAUUUGAGUCUGUAGCUAUUAACUUAAAGGAGGACAAUGUUUUAACGUGGAUAUUUUUAGCUAGCUAACCAUGCAUGCUAACAGAUUCAAAGUAACGCUGUGUUUGACUAGCGAUUGGGACUCGUAAACGCGAAACCACACCCCUCUACUCAAUUCCUACUCAAGAACGUCUCUCAAACCGGCGUCAAAACAAAAUGACCGCUCACAGCGUAAACAGGUAACACAGCAGCACUUCUUUACUGUCAAAUGAGUUAUAUAUAUGUGUAUAUAUAGACUUCAGAUCAAUCAACAUACAGAUAUAUUCUCUCGCUCACUCUGGAACCCCGACUCUACCGUUACAGGUACAUAUAACAUCACUCAUCACAGUUAGCUGGCUAGCGUUCGGCUAACAAACGGCGUCCGUGUUUUUCCCCCCAUUUUAAAGCCCGAACGUUAAAUCACGGAGGUUUUAAACGGCGUCACGGCUUCCCGCUUCUGAGGGAAGUCGAACGCCGCGUGGGGUAGCUAGCCAGAGCUAACAGCGGCCGUUCGGAUCGGGGCGUUUUCUUAAUUUUGCGAGUGAAAAUGAAGAGCCGUCUUAAUUAUUAAAAAAAUACGAAUGAAUCCGUCUAAAUGACUCAAAUUCGGCUGAAAACUAGCCGUCCUAAAAAAAACCCCACAUGACUGAAUUAAUAUUAAUAGUAAAAGAGUGGCGCGUUUUAAAAAGAUUUAAAAAAAACAAACAAAACCCGCGAGUCCUUCUUCAAUCUUAUAACACCAGAUAAACGAGUUAGCAUGAAGCCGAAACUUCGAAACUUCCACGUUUCUCCUCACCACGGGCCGAGUUUCUGAAGCUGACGUGAUUCGAUAUGAUUAACUCGAGGGAAUAAACGCUCACGAUCACCGUCGAUGGACACGAACGUGAAGUGAAAAAUCAAGAGAACCCCGCUGAAACAAAACAAACAAACCCCAAACAAUAGAAACCAUCACAGAAAUCGGUUGGAUGAUGGUUUCCACUAUAAACACCAUUAAAACCAUAAACAAACGUAGUCUGUUUUGGUCCGAAUUCUAUUAGCAUUUAACAGUUUGUAUUGGUUUCCAUUAGACAUGCUAUAAACAUGCCACCUAUAGAACCCAACACCUUACCAGAACCAUUAAAACCAAUACAAUUCCCAUUAUAGCCAUUAGAACUUCUGUAAUGGUUUCUACUGACAGUGGCGCCCCAGACGAGAGAGCUACCAGACUAUUUUGCGAUUCCUGAGACGCGGAAUGUUUUGCGGAAUAUAUCUCAGGAUCGAACUGUUUUAGGUCGAAACUUUCCCUCCAAAGACCCCACACACUCCGUUUCACAUAAAUCAGUGUGUUUGAACAGAGUCGUGUUUGGCGUCAGGCCUGUACAUGCUUCCAAAACACACACACACACACACAUAUACACACACACACGCGUUCUCAUCAGGACAUUUCUCAUUAUUUCUCAUUAUUUCUCGUUACUGUAGUGAGCGCGCGCUGCCAAGUAGCUGUAAGUGUUGAUUUAUUGGCGUAAACAGCAGCGCUGUGUAUAAAGACCUGAAAAAGUGGCGCUUCCUCUUCCCGCUACACGGAGGCGAUCCGCCGGGACGCGAUCGGUGUGUGAGGUUUGCUUUGUUAUUUCUCAUUUCUGCGCUAGAACGCCACACUUAUUGCACUUUUGGCUGAACUGUUCGCUGAUUCGUUUAUUAGAGAUAUCCGCUGGGGAUUCGUUUGGCUCUGUGAUGUCUGUAAUAAUAUUUUCACCUACGUGAAGUAAACGCAGGACGACAGACGUUUCCGUGACGAUAACGCCGUCGCAUCGUGCCUUAGACACGUUCGUGGAUUGGAUACGGAUGAUAUUACUGAUCGUUUACGCGCGUCAAUAACACACGAAGUGGAUGAUUCGUGUACAACCGGACGCUCUGGAGCGAGUCAUUCCUCGUAACCACGGCGACGGGCCGAGGAUGACGACGUUUCCGUUAUUAAGGGAGGACACACGGAGCGUCGAGUUAAGAGUUAAUGUGGGAGAGGCGAGUUACUUCCUGUUGUCACUUACGUUAUAGCAGCGACACUAAACAGUCGUUCCUUCAUCGUCCUCUUUUCCCUUUCUCUCGACGUUAAUAAACACGAGAACAAAACACCAAACUAGAUCUCUCGUUACAGAGAAACCGCGAAAACCAGCGUAGACGCGUCUGUCCCGUCUUUCUCUCUCUCUGUCUCUCUCACUCGCUCUCUUUCUCACUCACUCACUCACUGUCUGUCAUGUGUCUCCUGCUUUUCUCUCUCUCCUUCUCUCUCUCUCACUCUCUCUCUCUCUCCUUCUCUCUCUCUCCUUCUCUCUCUCUCACUCUCUUUCUCACUCACUCACUCACUGUCUGUCAUGAGUCCUCUGGUUUUUCCUCUCUCUCUCUCCUUCUCUCUCUCUCACUCUCUUUCUCACUCACUCAUUCACUGUCUGUCAGUGUCUCCUGCUUUUCUCUCUCUCCUUCUCUCUCUCUCACUCUCUC
ensembl:lncRNA